CCGUGCUAGAUGGGGAGGUAGCGGUGCCCUGUGACCUGCAAUCCGCUAUAGCAGGGUCGAAUUCCUAUCAGCGGUGAUCUCCAUGUAAGGUCUGGCUUAUGCAAGUGGUGUUGACGAUUGGGUCCUACGCAACGGACAUCUAUGAACCCCGUCAGGUCCGGAAGGAAGCAGCGGUAAGUAGAAUGGUUCGUGUGUUGUAGGGAAGCCUGAUCUGAGCUAACUACACAAGUUCGCUUGUAUGGGAUCAUCAAUGAUCGGUGCACGG
rnacentral:SRP_RNA from 1 species